rnacentral:rRNA from 1 species
GAUGAACGCUGGCGGCGUGCCUAAUACAUGCAAGUCGAGCGAACAGACGAGGAGCUUGCUCCUCUGACGUUAGCGGCGGACGGGUGAGUAACACGUGGAUAACCUACCUAUAAGACUGGGAUAACUUCGGGAAACCGGAGCUAAUACCGGAUAAUAUAUUGAACCGCAUGGUUCAAUAGUGAAAGACGGUUUUGCUGUCACUUAUAGAUGGAUCCGCGCCGCAUUAGCUAGUUGGUAAGGUAACGGCUUACCAAGGCAACGAUGCGUAGCCGACCUGGGAGGGUGCUCGGCCACACUGGAACUGAGACACGGUCCAGACUCCUACGGGAGGCAGCAGUAGGGAAUCUUCCGAAAUGGGCGAAAGCCUGACGGAGCAACGCCGCGUGAGUGAUGAAGGUCUUCGGAUCGUAAAACUCUGUUAUUAGGGAAGAACAAAUGUGUAAGUAACUAUGCACGUCUUGACGGUACCUAAUCAGAAAGCCACGGCUAACUACGU